CUGCAGCACUGCAUAGCAAGUGUGUGGAGGCCUGGCUGUAGGAGAAGAAAAAAGAUCUGUUUGAGCUGUUGAGUCAGUGGUACUUAAUAAUAAAAAUGUGCCUUAUCGUUUUUAUGGAAGGCACUAGAGAGCAGCAAAUAUUUCAAGAGUGGCCUGUUGUAAAUGUAACUGAAGAACUGACAUCAGAAUGAUCAGUGAGCCUUUGAUGGAUGAAGAUUCAUUAAGUGGUCCUUCUUGUGCACUAAAAUUUACUCUUUUGAAAUAAGAGACUUAUAGGAUCUACUGAGGAUAUCCUUCAGGCAGCUGACUUGCACUUUGGUGCUGACUGUGCUUCAGUGUAGCAGAUCUGGUGUGUGCCUUGUGACUGCUUUGUGAAACUUCUGUGUCUGGACUGCAGAAAUGAAAAGCAAUGGAAAGAACUACAACUCAAGACAAAAGACUCAGUCUUUCUCUGACAAGUUGAAAUGCUCCUUACUGAGACAAGCUAUACAGCAGAGCAACUGCAACAGAAGUACACUUGUCCUCUUGGAUUGGGUGUAUUGUGGAUUCACUGUAUAAGAACAUUUUCAAAGAUACGACUACUUAUUUUGAAACACAUCUUCAGAGUAAAAAAAGUGAAUAAAUCCAGAGAACAUACAAAAGUCUAAUCACUGGGUGGAAUUCAUCUUCCCAAGACACUAAGGAGAAUUAUUAAAUUAAGUUGAACAAAGCAGGAGAAACAGAAGGUUUGCUUAGCAGGAAGCAGUAGAUGGACUCCAACACAUCAGAAUAGCUGUGUGAAGAAUGCUGCCUUUGCAGCUGGCAUCAGUCACAUCACUCAAGCUUCUUCUUGAGAAACUGGGUGCAACAUUGUGUUAAGUAAACAAGGACUACGUCAGGAACAAGCAUUGCAUAAGAAUAGUAACAUCAGAGUGAUGCUUCUUAACAUGAAGGUAUUGCUGAUAGGAAAGGAGGAAAGGUUUCAUGAAGAGGCAUUUUGAAUGGAAGGAGUGUUUGUUUCCUAGGCAAACAUUAUGGAGAAAAACAAACAAACAAAAAUGCUCCUACAUCCUGCUGGCAGAGAAGUCAUGUUCAAAUCAAAUAUGAAAAAAUUAAAUGUAUAAUGGCAUUGUAGCAGGUGUGAAUUUCAUUCCAUUAAGAUAAUGUUUUUUGAAGUGUCAUUUUCCUUCAUUUGAGGAGAGGGUCAGGCUGUACUAACUGUAUGUCCUGAACAGUGUAUUAAAUAUGUAUUCAAUUCAUACUUGUCAUUUUAUUUGCACUAUUAGUGUGGGAAACAAGACUUGUAAUCAUUGUGUUGCUAUAUGCUGAGUUUAUAUCCUGCAUUUUCAGAUGCUUGAGAGAAAGUGUAGGAAAAAUAUGAACCAAAGGAAGAUUUUUAGGAAGGCAGGCUGAAAUGAGACAGAUCAAGUGUCUGCCUUUCCCUCAGACUCUGAAGGAGCACAAAGCUCUAGAAGAUACAGAUCCCCAAGCUUCAUAUAUAAAGCACACUCUUAAAAUUAACUAUUUGUCUCACUCAGAACGCUGUCUCACAUCAGUAUUUCAUCUCCAUCCUACUCUUCCUUGAUGCAUUCUGAAAGCUGUUUCACCUUUAAAAAAAUGAAGGCACCAACUGCAGUUUUAUAAGUUUGAGAACACUUUCCUAAACAUCCUUUGCUUCAGUGUUCCUCAUCCACUGCGUAAACCAUCAUGCCCAAAGCUAAGCAAAUGUCACUGCUGAUAUGUGACAAGUUUGUAAUCUGGCCUUGAUUGCACUGUGGAAAGAAAUGAACAAUGGGAAGUAAAUCUGAUAUUAAAUAACAGCACUUGACAAUGAAUAUUUGUUGCCAAGAAUUAGAAACCUGUGGGCCUGACUUACAGAACUGUUGCCUUAAUUAUCCCUUUUCCUGAAACAGAUUUAACUUUUUUGUGGACUGUAUAAUCUGUGUUACCAGUCCCUUAAGAUUCUGCUAAGAAAGGGAUGUCUUCUAUUCUGCUUGAGAGCACAAAAAACCCACUUUUCUGACUUAAGCAGCAUAUUGACCGUACAACAAUGAAGAAAUUGCUCCAUGACUGUGUAUACAGUGAUUUGUAAAUCCCUUUGAGCCCAGUCUUGAGAAAGACAGCUAAUCCCAGAGUAUUGCUUCAUAUGAGGUCUUUGCAGAGCUGUAGACUACAAACCUCCACCCCCAAUUGCCUGGGCUGUUUGCAUGUGGGGGCUUUGGUUGCUACUACAGAUAACUGCGCAAAUAAAUGAAACUGGCUCUUAUUUUGUAUCCACUCAUCUUGUUCCAGUGUAUGUAUGUUCACAAGCCCUUCUCUUCCCCCUGCUCAGUAGUACAUUGGCACUGUGUGGAGGUAGAGAAUGAUGUUGUUUUGAAGCAAUUAAAAUUCCGAGGUGCACAGUAUGUCUAUACUGCUUUUAGGCCUGUGCAAUCAAACUGUAACUUGAAGUGUGAAUCUUUUCCUGUUACAUUUGAGCCUGUAUCAUGUUAAUAUAUACUGCAGGUUUAAUCCUAAUAAUAGCAAGAGGAUAAUCAUAGUAACAUGUAAUUUUUAAUUUUCUGGAGUUGUCUGUAAAUAUUUUCCAGUUUUAACAAAUUAUGAAGAAAUUUUGCAUUAUAAUGCUGUUGCUUUUCUGUUGUUUCUUUUACCUGUUGUGAUUAUGAAAUACUUUUAUGCCCAUGAGCUGGACCAUGAUGAUCGUGUUCCCACAGAAUGCAAUUGCUUUCAUGUAUUCUACCAUGCUGCUGUGCUAGUAACUACCAUAUAAGUCAUCAUUACUAUCCACCCAAGCAUUUGCAGCUACUGUCAUCUGUAACAUGUUGCCAGAACUCUAAGAAAACACUUAACAAUUAAUCUGAAGUCCCAGUCUUUUACAUGAGAUUAUUUUUUUCUUUACUGUUAUACAAACACUUCUGCUAGCUAUUUGCAGUAUGCAGCGACAAUAAAACGAAAGAUGGUUUUAUAUCCUCAGUCAGAGGGAAGGUUAAAGGAAGAACUUGUGAAACAACUGGAAUGAUUCAUCAGUAAGGAGAGAUUUCUAAUAUGAAUGUUCAGUGUGCUUUAGGCAACUUUAGGCAGCACAAGUUUCAGGAGGAAGUUCUGAGCUUUGAUUUUUAUAGAACUGGAUAUGUAUGUUAAAAAUGAUGCCUUUACUAUAUAAUAAAAAAUCCUGAGCUUCAUAUACAAAUACAAAACAUCAGUCAGG